UUUCCGUAGGUGAACCAGCGGAAGGAUCAUUACUGAGUGGGGGCCCUCUUGGUCCAACCUCCCACCCGUUUUUAUUGUCCCUUGCUGCUUCGGUGAGCCCGCCUCGCGGCCGCCGGGGGGCAUCUGCCCGCGCGCGCGCGCUCGUCCAUGACACCCUUGAGCUCUAUCUGAAGGAUGCAGUCUGGGCGAAUACUCGAACAGUUAAAACUUUCAACAACGGAUCUCUUGGUUCCG
rnacentral:misc_RNA from 1 species